GGUUCCAUGGAGUAGUGGUUAGCACGUCUGCUUUAUGCGCAGAAGGUCCUGGGUUCGAGCCCUGGUGGAGCCA
rfam:Pteropus alecto contig52779, whole genome shotgun sequence.